rnacentral:rRNA from 1 species
UACGUAGGGUGUGAGCGUUAAUCGGAAUUACUGGGCGUAAAGCGUGCGCAGGCGGUGAUGUAAGACAGAUGUGAAAUCCCCGGGCUCAACCUGGGAACUGCAUUUGUGACUGCAUCGCUGGAGUGCGGCAGAGGGGGAUGGAAUUCCGCGUGUAGCAGUGAAAUGCGUAGAUAUGCGGAGGAACACCGAUGGCGAAGGCAAUCCCCUGGGCCUGCACUGACGCUCAUGCACGAAAGCGUGGGGAGCAAACAGG